UACGUAGGGAGCGAGCGUUAUCCGGAAUUAUUGGGUGUAAAGGGUGCGUAGACGGGAACUUAAGUUAGUUGUGAAAUCCCUUAGCUCAACUAAGGAAUGGCAACUGAAACUGGGUUUCUUGAGUGCAGGAGAGGAAAGUGGAAUUCCUAGUGUAGCGGUGGAAUGCGUAGAUAUUAGGAGGAACACCGGUGGCGAAGGCGACUUUCUGGACUGUAACUGACGUUGAGGCACGAAAGUGUGGGGAGCAAACAGG
rnacentral:rRNA from 1 species